UUUAUGUAUUCGUUUUUUUUUUUCUUCAUGAAUAUCUACAUACAUAUCGUCGUUUAAAGAACAAAACCGCGUAUCGUAAUUCUGCAAACCCGCGUAACUGAUAUUGGCUGCCAAAAAUUGUAUUUGCUCCCACAAGCUCUUUGCUCAAUCCUUAUCCAUUCGUCCUGAAAUAUACU